rnacentral:lncRNA from 1 species
GCCUCUAUUAAGUAUACUUUUAUUUACAAUACAUUGGAAAAGUAGGAUAGGACACCAACUUUUUUAUUACUAAGUUGGCAUAGGACAUCAUUUUUUUUUCAGUCAGAAAGCGAUAGGGUUGUAACUUUUAUUAAAUGUUUUUAUUUUUUGCACCGGUCCUAUGUGACGAUAAAUUUUGACCGGUCCCUAAAUAAACUAAUUAUGGAAAAACUGCUGUUGUCUAAUUGAAGCUCGAUAUCUAUUUGUGAUUUUACCACACUCAAAUAUAUAUGGUCCCAUGGCUUUUCUUGGUGAAUUUUUGGGGUUUUCACGAUACCUUACGAUUUCGCAGAAAAUUUUCCCUAAUUUUGAUCAACAUAAAAAAAAAUAUUCCGGCCCUUCAUCAUAUACAUUUAAGGACAAAUUUGUGCUUGCAUGAAACUUCAUUCAUGAUGCUUUCCAGAAUAAAAAUAUAUAAAUGAUAUAACAACCAAUCACAGAGAGCCAUUUAUUUUUUUCUCUAUGUCAUGUUCCCUUCAUAAAAUGGCUGCGCCCAUGUAAUUUCAUUUGGUACAUUGUAACCUAUGAAAGCUUCCCACUAUCCAUUUCUACCCAUAGAAAACUUUUGCCUUUCAUUUAUCAAAAAUGAAAUAUGUUGAUAUUAAUGGUAUAUAAGAAUUAUUGGGGAAUUCAAACCAUUCCUAUUGUAAGUGAUAAAACUAAAUUUAUA